rnacentral:rRNA from 1 species
CAAAGAUCGAACGGGGAGAUUCAUCGUCAGCGGCGUUGGCCUCGCGCCGGCUCGUGACGUCGCGGUGCCUCGCGGUACCCGCGGCGCGCGGUCGGCGUGUCUUUACGUCCGACGUCGCCGGCGUGCACUUCUCCCCUGGUAGAACGUCGCGACCCGUUGGGCGUCGAUCUAAGGCCCGGGUGGGUGACUGUCGCGGACGCUUAACAGGCGUCGCGCGGCAAACCCCCGGUCGCCAGCGUCGGCUACCCGGCGGUACUCGCAUGGUAUCGGGCCGCAUGAACAAUUUCGAACUGCGUCGAGCCCGUCGCAAGCGCGGUCGAACCGCGGAGGUGCGGACCUAGCGCCGUCCCCGCGGCCGACCUGCUGUUGGCAGACGGUGUCCUACGACAGGCCAAGAACGGGGGACCUCGUUAACGCGGGGUUCCCCAUCGAAAGUGUGAUACCGGUCGGCGACGCUACUGCUUUGGGUAAUCUCAGGACCCGUCUUGAAACACGGACCAAGGAGUCUAACACGUGCGCGAGUCAUUGGGACAGCAUAUGCCUAAAGGCGAAAUGAAAGUGAAGCUCGGCUUUGAACGCCGAUCGAGGGAGGAUGGGUCGUUGCGGGUUACGGCCUCGCACUCCCGGGGCGUCUCGCUCUCAUCGCGAGAGGAGGCGCACCCAGAGCGUACGCGUUGGGACCCGAAGAGGG